GUAUCUCUUUGCCCCGCUGUGGGUCAGAAAUGUUUCAGCUGACUUUUUGAGAUUUUAGCUCCAGUGCCCUUUAGUACGGUUCCUCAGUUAAACGGUGCUCUGUGAAAGGACAUAGCACUGAAAUAUGAGUGCUCAUCUGGUUCAGUACUUUUGGACGCUAGACUGCUGGCAGCCUUUCAGGGUCUUGCCUUUGAACACGGAGAAAACCAAGCUGGUCUGUGAUUUAGGUAGUUUCAAGUUGUUGGGCUGGACGUUUAAUUUCACAGGAACCUGAAACUGCCUGAAUUGCUCCAGUUAAACGCAACAUUGUCCGUUCGACUUGGAAUAAGGAUAUACACUGUCGCGUUGAUUGAAAACAUUGAUUUAAUAAUGUUGGGAAUUUGCCAUUUUUACAAAUAUGACUGUUACUUCAUCCAAUAUAUCGUGUUUUUGAUAUUUUUUACUGAUUAUACUUCUUCCACAUUUAAUAUUUGUAAUUUAUAUUUGUAACUAAUGUCCAUAUGUUUUAAAGAUGAAUACUUGACCCACCAUUUCUUCAAUACUUUCCCAUCGUUUUUCCA
rnacentral:precursor_RNA from 1 species